AUACGGAGGGUGCAAGCGUUACUCGGAAUCACUGGGCGUAAAGGAUGCGUAGGCUGGAUGUCAAGUUGGAAGUGAAAUCCUAUGGCUUAACCAUAGAACUGCUUCCAAAACUGGCAACCUCGAGUGAGGGAGAGGCAGAUGGAAUUAGUGGUGUAGGGGUAAAAUCCGUAGAUAUCACUAGGAAUACCGAUUGCGAAGGCGAUCUGCUAGAACUCUACUGACGCUAAGGCAUGAAAGCGUGGGGAGCAAACAGGAUUAGAAACCCCAGUAGUCC
rnacentral:rRNA from 1 species